rnacentral:rRNA from 1 species
UACGAAGGGAGCUAGCGUUGUUCGGAAUCACUGGGGCGUAAAGCGCACGUAGGCGGAUGUGUCAGUCAGGGGUGAAAUCCCGGAGCUCAACUUCGGAACUGCCUUUGAUACAGCACGUCUUGAGUCCGGAAGAGGUGGGUGGAAUUCCUAGUGUAGAGGUGAAAUUCGUAGAUAUUAGGAAGAACACCGGGUGGCGAAGGCGGCCCACUGGUCCGGUACUGACGCUGAGGUGCGAAAGCGUGGGGGAGCGAACAGG